GCGGGCUGGCUGGGAGGAGUUCGAGGCUACCACCGUGCUCGUCGUCGCUGCUGCAGCCGCUCUCGGGCUCCGAGAAGUGCAGCCCGCCGUUGGUGGACGAGGCGCCGCUGCCACCGCCGCCCGCCGGGCUCUUGGCGCUGCCGUUGGCCGAUCGGUUCUUCCCCAGUAACUCGGGCCCUUUCUCCAUCAUGCCGGGCAUGGUAGAAGAGGGGAGGGGGAAAGGGGAAGAAACCAGUAAUGAGAAAGGAGCUGAAGAAACAAGAGCAGAGAGAGAUUAACUGAUGGAGCAAGACUUUGAAGAAUGAAGGAGCAACAAGGACAAGGUGGCUGGAUUGGUCUUGACCAAGAGGCAGUACACUUCAUCCUCUGAGACUAGAGAAAGCUAAAAAAGAGAUACUUGGAGGGUUCUUCAGAGAAGAUGGAUCCAUCUAUCAUCUAUCUAUCUAUCUAUUUAUCCAUCUAGCUAUCGUAUGUAUAUUGGCUCCUGUGAUUAUGGAGACUGGAAAGUCCCAAGAUCUGCAGGGUGAGUUGGCAAGCUGGAGACCCAGGCGGGCAGAUGGUGUAGUUCUAGUCCAAAGAGCCUAUGAUUCAGCUCAAGUCUGAAGGCAGGAAAAAUGCUGAUGUCCCAGUUCAAAGCCCAUCAGACAGUAGGAAUUCUCUCACUUGGAAGAGGUUCAGCGUUUUUGUUCUAUUCAGGUCUUCAACUGAUUGGAUGAGACCCACCCACAUUGGGGAGAACAAUCUGCUCUACUCAGGCUAAGGAUUUAAGUGUUAAUCUCAUCCAAAAACUCCUUCACAGAAACACCCAAAAUAAUGUUUGACCAAGUAUCUGGGCACCCUGUGGACCGGUCAAGUUGACACAUGAAAUUAACCGUCACAGCCUCUUUAUGCUAUGUAUACUUAGGAGAACAGUAUUCAUCCCCAACCUACCUCUCAGGUUGCCCCUUCCCCACCCUCCCAGAGGAAAAAUCAUUGUAACACUCUUGUUUCUGGAAGAUAUGGCAUAUUUACUUUGUAAGUUUUGUGAACCCACCACUGAAUAUCCUUAGGGGUUUAACACCUCACUGUGAAUAAUACUAUUUUAAACAAGUCUUAUGUAAUUGUAUAUUUUUUUCUCUACAAACACAUAUAAAACUAUUUCCAAUUUCUGUGGAAUGGAAUAAAAUAUAAAUAUACAUGCAAUUAUUUUAACCAACCAAAUGUUUUAAAUUUUUAACUAUUAUGA